UCCCCUUGUUUUUGGUACCAACAAUCAGUUUUUUCUUUAGUUUCAGCUUUUCUGUUAGUUUCCCCAAAGUUGAAACUCUUUAUUGAUUUUACUUAAUCCUAAAUCUCAGUUGCUAUGACUACUUAUUCUGACGAGAAGAUGAAUUUAGAGCUGAGUAUGGAUAUUAGCAACGACUUGCAAGUCAAGAAUCGCGGAAAAUUGUUGGGCCU
rnacentral:lncRNA from 1 species